rnacentral:rRNA from 1 species
AAUAAACGCUGGCGGCGUGCCUAACACAUGCAAGUCGAGCGAGAAAGCUCCUUCGGGAGUUAGUACAGCGGCAAACGGGUGAGCAACGCGUGAGAAUUUACCCUCUGGUGAAGAAUACCCUCGAGAAAUCGGGGUUAAUACUGCAUACGUCCCUACGGGGAGAAAGGUGGCCUCUUUGCUACCGCCUGAGGAUAAGCUUGCGUACUAUUAGCUAGUUGGUGAGGUAAUGGCUCACCAAGGCGAUGAUGGUUAACCGGCCUGAGAGGGUGUACGGUCACACUGGAACUGAGAUACGGUCCAGACUCCUACGGGAGGCAGCAGUGAGGAAUCUUGCGCAAUGGGCGAAAGCCUGACGCAGCGACGCCGCGUGAAGGAUGAAGGUCUUCGGAUUGUAAACUUCUGUUAAACGGGAAGAAAUACCUACUUCUAAUAAAAGUAGGGGAUGACGGUACUGUUAGAGAAAGCACCGGCUAAACUCGUGCCAGCAGCCGCCGUAAUAC